rnacentral:ncRNA from 3 species
AACGUAUCGGAAGGAGGUGAUCCAAUGUCUAAUGAGAUUUCGGUCUCUGGUGCAGGCAAUGGAAAGGGUGGGUUUUCGACGGGGCAGCCCUCGGCGUAAAAACCUCUUGCCUUCGGAACGUUGAGAAACAGUCCCGGGUCUGUAAACAGGACCAAGCUCAUGGAAGGGUCGCCUCUGGCGACCCU